UGUCGAAUGCCCGAUGAGCAGCAUUGAAAGGUACAGGCUCAUCAAGCGUGACGAUGUCUUCCAGCAACAGAAGCAUGCGUCUGCUAGUUUCAGUCGUAAUUGUGUUCAUGCUGAUCACGCUGAACACGGAAGGUCCUUCAGGCGCUCUAGCAUUUCAAGCUGGUCCAGAAAUGCGUAAAGGCGCCUUUUCAAAGCGAGAUUUUCUUCGCAAGCACGAAAGUGAGUUUGCCACUGUGAAAAGACCGUACAUCCUCAAAUAAAAGAAAGUUGCAUACACGAAUCCUGUGACGACUAUUUCGAAUAAGCAAGCGGCUCAGCUCUGCACCUCAACGCCAAUAAAA